rnacentral:rRNA from 1 species
CCUACGGGUGGCUGCAGUGGGGAAUAUUGGACAAUGGGGGGAACCCUGAUCCAGCCAUGCCGCGUGUGUGAAGAAGGCCCUCGGGUUGUAAAGCACUUUCAGUGAGGAAGAACGCCUGGUGGUGAAUACCCAUCAGGAAAGACAUCACUCACAGAAGAAGCACCGGCUAACUCCGUGCCAGCAGCCGCGGUAAUACGGAGGGUGCGAGCGUUAAUCGGAAUUACUGGGCGUAAAGCGCGCGUAGGUGGCUUGAUAAGCCGGUUGUGAAAGCCCCGGGCUCAACCUGGGAACGGCAUCCGGAACUGUCAAGCUAGAGUGCAGGAGAGGAAGGUAGAAUUCCCGGUGUAGCGGUGAAAUGCGUAGAGAUCGGGAGGAAUACCAGUGGCGAAGGCGGCCUUCUGGACUGACACUGACACUGAGGUGCGAAAGCGUGGGUAGCAAACAGGAUUAGAUACCCGUGUAGUC